rnacentral:ncRNA from 18 species
UGAUUUGAAAUAAGCCAUGCUUGUAGGGUUAUCAGAAUAAAAACAGGUUAUAACUGUCUCGAUACCGGAAUAAACCAGUCAGAAAAGCGUUGUCAGAACCCAUACCGCCUUACCAACCUCAGGAAAAAGUAUAAGUUUUCUUAUUUCACAACUCAUUGGGCAAUAGCACAGCAUUCCGAGUCGAAAUGCAGAUUAAAUAUGUCAUUAUCACAGGGUAAUGGGAGGUGUUUCACGAAAACCGGGGAAAGCAAAUUUCCGCCUUACAAACACCGAAAUACGGGGUUCUGACAGCCGGUUUCAAAUAGGUAAAUCCCGACUUUUCAUGCCAUGAAUAAAGGACAAAACGCUGCGCCAUCAGUAUGACGGCACAGCGUUUUGUGUUAUUGCCUAUAUUCAGACUAAUACGGUAACGAAUGGCUUUACUUC